CUCGAGCACUCCUGCUUCCACACGAGCCAUGUGUGGCUCAAUCUCCCCUUCUGAGCGGGCCGCCUGCAUGCAAUGAUCAGUCACACGGCCCACCUGGCACAAGGGCAGUGGGAGCCAAAAGUAGAUUCAGGCUCCCGUUGGCCCCCAUCAUUCUGGCUCCCCCACACACGCACCUUUUGGGGGCGUAGGCAUGACAUCGGCUA